CUUCUUCCUCAUAAACCCAAAAUAACUCAUCACCCACCACCAACCUUUCAUUUCUCCAAACCUGCAAACCCCAACGUUUCACCUCAAAACCCUCACAAUUAGGGUUUCUUUGAUCGAACCAACAAUGCGGAAAGGAAGAAACUUAUUAGGUCGCCAUCACCAAGGGAAGAGAUCGUCAACAGUUGCCUUAGUUCUCUCCAUGCUUUUGAUGCUCACAAUUGUUCUCCUUGUGCUUCUUGCGUUGGGGAUAUUCUCACUUCCGAUUGGAUCUGAUGAUGACGAUUCUUCGUUUUAUCUUCAUGAUCGCAUCACGUUUAAGCGAAAACGGUUGCUUGUUGGUGACAUUGAUGGUGAUGGGGCUGGAAAAAGAGGAGAUCAGUGGACUGAGAUUCUCUCUUGGGAGCCCAGAGCUUUUCUUUAUCACAAUUUUUUGUCCAAGGAAGAGUGUGAGUACUUAAUAAAUCUUGCCAAACCUCACAUGGCAAAGUCAACAGUUGUUGAUAGCAAGACUGGUCAGAGUAAAGAUAGCAGAGUGCGUACAAGCUCUGGGACAUUUUUGAGGAGAGGAAGGGAUAAAAUUAUACGAACUAUAGAGAAAAGAAUUGCUGACUUCACAUUCAUCCCUGUAGAACAUGGAGAAGGACUACAAGUUCUCCAUUAUGAAGAAGGUCAAAAGUACGAGCCUCACUUUGACUACUUUCUUGAUGAGUUCAACACUAAAAAUGGAGGCCAGCGAAUAGCUACAGUUCUUAUGUAUUUGUCUGACGUGGAGGAAGGGGGAGAGACAGUUUUUCCUGCUGCACAAGGAGAUAUUAGCUCCAGACCAGGGUGGAAUAAUUCGUCUGAGUGUGCUAAAAAGGGUCUUCAUGUGAAACCGAAAAUGGGUGAUGCGUUACUUUUUUGGAGCAUGAGGCCUGAUGCAACAUUGGAUCCAAGUAGUUUGCAUGGUGGUUGUCCUGUGAUUAAAGGGAAUAAAUGGUCAUCUACAAAGUGGAUGCAUGUCGAAGAAUACAAAAUAUAAGUUUGUCAAAAGGAUACAAAGGAGUAAGUGAGAUCGGAUUAUUUAUUAUACCACUAUGAAGGUUCCUUGGUAUUCUUCAGUUAUGCAUUCCGUCAUCACACCACUUUUGUCAUUUCACUUUUCAGCUCGACACAUUAACGCAAUCUGAACCAGUGGUAGUCCUUUAUGGGUACAGUGUGUAAGAUACAAAUCAAGCAGUUAGUAGUUGAGUAUAGCUGGCGUUUUCCUCCCGCUUUCACCGAUUGACCUGAGCAUCAUGUCGCAAAGGUGAUCCGCGUAACGCUAGAAGAAAUUUGAUUAAAUAUACCAAAAACCCCGAUAACUUGUUAGCAUAAUCAAAUCUAGUCAUUUUUUGAAGUUUUCAAGGUUUGUUGGAGUUAGAACUAAUUACAUACGUAGCAUGUCAUGGUCUUCUAAUUCAGGUUUGUCUUAUAGUUUUUGUUUUGGUCAUUGGCUUGAAUCAAAGUAUUUGGUAGGGAUGUUUGUUGUCUA